UAUUCUGCCCCACGGGGAAGGAUGAGAAGCUUCGACUAAGGUUCGACUCGAGCGUAGCGAGAGAACGUUGCCGAAGGCAACGGCCCGAAGGGCGAGGCGCUUUAGCGCCGAGUUAUCCUUCCCCCACCACCA
rnacentral:sRNA from 2 species